rnacentral:rRNA from 1 species
AGCGGAGGGGAAACGCCCGUUCCCAUUCCGAACACGGAAGCUAAGCCCUCCAGCGCCGAUGGUACUGCCCUGGCAACGGGGUGGGAGAGUAGGUCAUCGCCAGAG